rnacentral:rRNA from 1 species
UACGUAGGGUGCAAGCGUUGUCCGGAAUUAUUGGGCGUAAAGAGCUCGUAGGCGGUCUGUCGCGUCGGCUGUGAAAACCCGGGGCUCAACCCCGGGCCUGCAGUCGAUACGGGCAGACUAGAGUGCGGUAGGGGAGACUGGAAUUCCUGGUGUAGCGGUGAAAUGCGCAGAUAUCAGGAGGAACACCGGUGGCGAAGGCGGUUCUCUGGGCAUUGCCUGACGCUGAGGAGCGAAAGUGUGGGGAGCGAACAGG